CUUGGCUUCUCUGAGCAGCAUUCCUUCCCUCUGGGUAUGGGGCAGGAACCUUUCCAGAAUGGGAGUCUUAUAACCUAUCAUCAAACAAGGAAGUGGAGGAUCACAUCUCACCCUGCAAGUGCGAGCUAUGCAGAGUGCUGUUCUGCUGAGGAAUGCGUAUGGAAAGGUGAGGAAAGCAACCACACAGCGGAUAAAGUUGAGAAACACUACCUCAGCCCUGUGGCCAAGGUCAGCAUCAACAGCGACACAUUAUGUUGGUGGUAUAUACUCACAUGAUGUGGUCAUGUGAUGUGGUGAUGAGAAGAGCAUUUCCUCCUCAAAGCCCAUAACCCCAUUCUAAUAAUGAGAAAACUAUCAGCAAACCCCAAAUUGAGGCACAGAGUGCAAAGUGCCUGGCCGGUACUCCUCAGAACUGUCAAGGUCACCAAAAACAUGGACAGACCCAGCAACUGCCACAGCCCAGAGGAGCCUAAGACGAGAUGAAUAAAUGUCAUAUAGUCUCCUGAAUACCAUCCAUGAGCAGAAAAAGGACAUUGGGUGAAAACCAAGGACAUCUGAAUAAGGAGCAGCCCGUACCUUCUUCCUUUGAGCUGUGUGCUCUGAAGAUCUGCACUACGCUCAAGCUGUGCUGCAUAGAUGAGCCCGCUGAAACAUGCCUUGUAGCCUCAACUCGUCUUCUCGUCUCCUGGAUGAAGAUAACUGGACUUCUGCACAUGGGUGUUGAGAUGCUGGCUUCAGGUAAGGCGUGUCCUGUGCUCAUCACUCCUUACGGGUCGAUAACUGGCUCGAUAGAAAGGCUUCUUGGUGGUUGUCACUCUUCCGUGACAUAAAACAGCAUGUGCCAACUUGUUCCCUGCAUCAACCUUGCAGAGCUGGCUUCCUAACAGCCCCCCUGGAACUCCUGUGACCCCCACAAGCAGUCUUUAAAUCCUUUUUCAUUGGAGAGGAGUCAAAUUGAAAGUCUAAGGGAAGAGGCAAAAAUGGGUUGUCUGAGUGGCUCUUUCAUUUAUUCUGGGUGUAUUUGCAUAGCAAUAUGUUUGUCCCAGAAAUCAAACCGUCUUCUUUUCAAGGGAACAAAACCAAACAAAGCAAAAUAACACAAAACUUUAAAAUCACCUAGAAGCCCAGUUGAGCAUGAAAUGGACGUUGGGAAGGA
rnacentral:lncRNA from 10 species